GGCCUUUUGUUUAUGAUUUAAGGUCUGGCCUGCCCAAUGAAAUUUUGAAUGGCCGCGGUAUUUUAACCGUGCAAAGGUAGCAUAAUCAUUAGUUUUUUAAUUAAAAGCUGGUAUGAAUGGUUGGAUGAAAAAGUGACUGUCUCUAUCUAAGUUUUUUAGAAUUUUAUUUUUAAGUAAAAAAGCUUAAAUUAUAUUAGAAGACGAGAAGACCCUAUAGAGUUUAAUUAAUUUUUGUUAUAAAGUUUUUAGUAUUUUUAAUUUUAUUAUAGUUGAUUAAUUUGAUUGGGGUGAUUUAAAAAUUUAAUAAACUUUUUUUGUAUUUAUACAUUAAUUUAUGAUUACUUGAUCCUUAAUUUAAGAUUAAUAGAUAAAAUUACCUUAGGGAUAACAGCGUUAUUUUUUUAGAGAGUUCUAAUCGAAAAAAAAGAUUGCGACCUCGAUGUUGGAUUAAAAAAAAAUUUUGGUGUAGAAGCUAAAAUAUUUAGGUCUGUUCGACCUUUAAAAUUUUACA
rnacentral:rRNA from 1 species